CUACGGGCCGCUGCAGUAGGGAAUAUUGGGCAAUGGGCGAAAGCCUGACCCAGCAACGCCGCGUGCACGAAGAAGGCCUUCGGGUCGUAAAGUGCUUUUCUGAGGGAUGAGAAAGGACAGUACCUCAGGAAUAAGCCUCGGCUAACUACGUGCCAGCAGCCGCGGUAAAACGUAGGAGGGCAAGCGUUAUCCGGAUUUACUGGGCGUAAAGCGUGUGUAGGCGGUACGGCAAGUUGGAUGUGAAAGCUCCUGGCUUAACUAGGAGAGGUCGUUCAAAACUACCGAACUAGAGUUUAUCAGAGGAAGAUGGAAUUCCCGGUGUAGUGGUGAAAUGCGUAGAUAUCGGGAGGAACACCAGUGGCGAAAGCGAUCUUCUGGGAUAAUACUGACGCUCAGACACGAAAGCUAAGGUAGCGAACGGGAUUAGAUACCCGUGUAGUC
rnacentral:rRNA from 1 species